rnacentral:rRNA from 1 species
GACGAACACUGGCGGCAUGCCUAAUACAUGCAAGUCGAGCGAACAGAUGAAGUGCUUGCACUUCUGACGUUAGCGGCGAACGGGUGAGUAACACGUAAGGAAUCUACCUAUAAGCGGGGGAUAACAUUCGGAAACGGGUGCUAAUACCGCAUAAUAUCUUCUUCCGCAUGGAAGAAGAUUGAAAGACGGCUCUGCUGUCACUUAUAGAUGACCUUGCGGUGCAUUAGUUAGUUGGUGGGGUAAUGGCCUACCAAGACGAUGAUGCAUAGCCGACCUGAGAGGGUGAUCGGCCACAUUGAGACUGAGACACGGCCCAAAGUCCUACGGGACGCAGCAGUAGGGAAUCGGCCGCAAGGGGCGAAAGCCUGACGGAGCAAUGCCGCGUGAGUGAAGAAGGCCUUCGGGUCGUAAAACUCUGUUAGAAGAGAAGAACAAAUUGUAGAGUAACUGCUACAGUCUUGACGGUAUCUUAUCAGAAAGCCACGGCUAACUACGUGCCAGCCGCCGCUGUAA